CCAACUCUGCAGUUCUACUCCAGCAAGCAAUUAUUGGCAUUCAGACAACAACUUGGUACACAUAAUUAUAAUGUCCAAGUAAUUAUAGAUCUAGGGCUGCUGGUAGGAGAACAGUUCAAUUGCGACAGUCCGGUCAUUUACCAGAACACCAGGGUGAGCUGAACGAGGAGAGAAGCUGCUAACAGAAGAAAAUGAUCAGGACUCUCCCUGGAUAUUUGCAGGUACGAAGUAGCACACUUUGUCCCUACCUGGGGCCCCCCCUACAAGGGCUACACAUUCAAAUACCUUGACUGUGGGAGUCGUGUGUAGGAAAAUCUGAACUCUCAAGCUGCGCCACUGCUGGAGGGCAGAGAAUCUGCAAACCUUCGGCUGAAAGGCACGCUUAGUCCUGGGAGGCUGCAGGUGUCCAUAUGCCACAGCUAGGAGACAUUAUCCAUUAGCGAGGGGUGAAGACAAAAGCUGUGGGACUUCUUUCUCCUGCUGCUUCCAACUGCGGUGAACAGUGUCACUUCCAAAACCCAGCUGAACAGAAGAGACUGCCGGGGAGUAAGUAGCAGCUGCUUGUGAAGAAGGUUCCCAGAAAAGUAGUGGCCCUGCAGCCCACGCUGCUGGCAUCCAAAUGACCUAUAAUAGCAACAUUUCACUACAGCCAAGUGAAGCCUUGGGUUAGCUGGCUGCUCUACAUCCACCAGGACGUAAGUGCACCUCAAAUGCGGAUGCCACUGCAUGGAGAACCAGAAGAGAAUGAUUGCAAUGCUUUUCGAUGCGCCACGUCUUGGGUCCCUAGUCUGAAUGCCUGGGGGAGAUACAGAUUUGAAUGCUGUGAAGGAAGUAGUGCCUAGAAAAACAUUUCAAUCAUUUUCUUGCUUCUGGUUCUCAUCAAUAGAUCGUGCACUCUGGAGACCAUUGCUGAGCGGAAAGUAAGGUGAAAGAGGUUCACAUUGCCCGUCUGAGGAAGACUGGUCAAAAAGCUGCUUGGAUUUGGGUCCCUUUACUAGACGAUGAUUCCUGCUUUUUUUGUUGUUGGUAUUUUCUGCACUCUUCUAUGGAAGACAUCAACAUCAAAUCGAGUCCAUGGACAUGUAGGAUUUAAUCAAAGAUACACCUAGGUUUAGAAGGGAUUUGGAUAGUGCCUGGGUGCUCUUUAGUGGUUGAGGUAAUCCUGACACCAACGGAAAAUGGCUAUUUCCAAAUGAACAUGUGGAAGCAUUGUGUAUAGAUGUAAAAUAUUUUUAUUUGUAAAUGCUGAUCUUCUAAAUCUGUUUCCACAAAUUCCAAAACCCAUAACACUCUGUAUACUUCAAAAAAUUCUUUUUUGCCAACAUUAGAUACUAUUAUACAGAACAGAAAAAAAAACGGUAGGACAAAUACUGGUAGGAUGUUGGAAUAUUGUACAAGAGAAGAAAAAUAUUCAAGAAACAAUUUCAUACAGCUAUUUAUCAAGAGAAAAAUAUAUACAAUUGAUUUUUCUGUAAGAUAAAAAUACAUCAUGCCAUAUACAUUACAAGUUCCGAACUGUAUUACUGAAUAUACCAACAGUUUACAGUCCACUUUAAUUGUGCACACAAAAAAAAAAAAACUUCAUUUUUUUUUUUUAUAUUUAGCCUGUGAAGUGUCAGUACCAGAAUUUUAAGUACAAAAUAAAAAGCUAACCUGGUUCAAAAUGCUGAUUAAGUUUCUACAAGCAAACACAAAACAGUGUUUUAUUUUUUUUAAAGAAAUGUAAACAAAAACAAUCCAUACAAACA